rnacentral:tRNA from 1 species
UGCCCAGAUACGCCAACGGCGAGCGGCCUGGCUUAGGAUCAGGUGUUUGCAGGUUCGACUCCUGCCCGGCGC